UUGUGCCAGCCGCCGCGGGUAAUACGAAGGGUGGAAGCGUUAAUCGGAAUUACUGGGCGUAAACGAGCGAAGGGGGUGAUGUAAGACAGUUGUGAAAUCCCCGGGCUCAACCUGGGAACUGCAUCUGUGACUGCAUCCUUGGAGUACGGCAGAGGGGGAUGGAAUUCCGCGUGUAGCAGUGAAAUGCGUAGAUAUGCGGAGGAACACCGAUGGCGAAGGAAAUCCCCUGGGCCUGUACUGACGCUCAUGCACGAAAGCGUGGGGAGCAAACAGGAUUAGAUACCCUGGUAGUCCACGCCCUAAACGAUGUCAACUGGUUGUUGGGUCUUCACUGACUCAGUAACGAAGCUAACGCGUGAAGUUGACCGCCUGGGGGAGUACGGCCGCAAGUUUGAAACUCAAAGGAAUUUGACGGGGACCCGCACAAGCGGGGGAUGAUGUGGUUUUAAUUCGAUGCAACGCGAAAAACCUUUACCCACCCUUUGACAUGUACGGAAUUUGCCAGAGAUGGCUUUAGGGCUCGAAAGAAAAGCCGUAAACACAGGUGCUGCAUGGCUGUCCGUCAGCUCGUGUCGGGAGAUGUUGGGUUAAGUCCCGCAACGAGGCGCAACCUUUGUCAUUAGUUGCUACAUUUCAGUUGGGCACUCUAAUGAGACUUGCCGGUGACAAAACCGGAGGGAAGGGUGGGGAUGACGUCAAGUCCCUCAUGGCCCUUAUAGGGGGGGCUACAACGUCAUACAAUGGGCUGGGAACAAAAGGGGUGCCAAACCCGCCGAGGGGAAGCUAAUCUCCAUAAAAACCAGUCGGAGGUCCGGAAUCGCAAGCUGGCAACUCCGAUUGCGGUGAGGGCCGGAAUUCCCCAGUUAACU
rnacentral:rRNA from 1 species